rnacentral:lncRNA from 1 species
CUCUGAGCACUGAAAAACUGAAGGGAAAUUCCCUGCCCCGGAUUUUUCUGUUAGAGAAACUUUUUCAGUUGCGCCCAGAGGCCGAUGCUGAGCUGUGGCCACCAGGACGGGGGCAGGAGGGCCCCCCACCACUGUGCGAUGGAAAUGGGUGAAGUAUUCCUCCAGCUGUGCCAGGAGGUGGCCAGGUUGCGGGAGCUGUGCUCCAGGCAGAGCGAGCUGCUGCAGAAACUGAGCGCCAGGAAGGGCCCCGUUGUGGACAUCCCCAUGUCACUGCCCAUCCAGUGCACAGAGGACGCUUGGACAGAGGGAGGGGAGCAGCCAGCAGCCAGCCCCCAGGUGCACCCCAAGGCCCCGCAGGGCUCUGCCCACCCUCUGGCUCCACCAAAUGCUGCCC